CACUGCAGCAACAACAAAAGGGUGCCAACCUGCCGACUCAGCUAUAUGCUUCACUCUUUCGAGCAAAGCACUGGUAUUCUGUCGGAACCCAGAUCAUGUGGUAAAAUCAUUAUGGUCAAUAUGGUCUCUUCACGAAUAAGCAACCAAGACACGCACCAACAAAGAAACCUAUUGUGUGGAUAUUGUGGUAACAACCUCUUUUUGGUAAACUACGGGCUUCGCUACACGUCAAAAUUGUGGGUAUCUGUCUAAUAUCUAGUUCACUUGUCCGUUACAUUCACAGUUUGGACUUGGAAGUUAGAUCUUAGUCGAUGGGCCUACGUAGGUAUCACUACACCUUAUAAAACAAAGUCCCCCGCCGCGUCCGUCUCAAAAACUACUGAACGCAUUUUCAUGCGGCUCUCGCCAAUCAAUAGAGUGAUUCUUGAGGAAGGUUUCGGUGCAUAAUUUGUUUGUGUAACCCGUGCGGGCUGGGGCGGGUCGCUAGCAAUACAUAACCUAAAGCUACCUCUGUUAUUUAAAACUGAUGCCCUUUAGGUGCCCACGAAUAUUCAAACACACCUUCCUCUACAUGAUUAGCUACUUUGAACGUGCAUGUUCAGAUGUUUUUGGCCACCUUGACCGCUCCGAUAUAUCUGAUUUUGACUCUCGUUCUCAGAACGCGUUUACCUUCGCAUAGAAUAUUGUUGAGAGAAUUCAAUCGAUAAAGUCCAUUGGGUAACGCAUAUAUGCAUUUUGAUGCGCUACGAACGUUGUAAACAGAGGCUAAAUCUGUUUAAAAAUUCCGAGGGUCUCUCUAUAUGCGAUUCAUUUGACAUAAAUAAUGUUUAAAAAAAAAAAGAACUAUGGCGUCAGUCGUAACGAUUCCUAUAGGAAAAUUUUAAGACUUGCUCAGUACUCUCACUAGUUGUAAAAUCAAUUUUGCCAAAACUAUCAUUUCAGAUACCUGUAGGUUUUAUUGCCGACUUUAUUUUUCCUCUAAAUCUAAGUACAGUCGCCGUCAGAUAUAUCGGAGCGGCCAAGGUGCUCACAAACAGCACGCAUCUAUUGUCAAGGCGUUAAAGUGAGAGGUCAGAUAUUUUUGAGCAUCUCGCCCGCUCCGGUAUAUCUGAUGGCGACUGUAUUGUACCUACUACUCAUCGAGACGUACUCAAUAAGUUGUGAAAGUUGCGUUGUUUUAUCACCCACAUCCUAUGGCCAGUAUCCGUCUUUAUCAGUAGAACAGACAACAGCUCGAUGUCAUAAUAUUGCAUACUAAACGGAACCCUAAAUUGAGCAUAACUCGAUAAAAAUUAUACUCAGUCUUUUUUUUUGUAUUUAAAACUGCAAGUUAUCUGAAUGCAUAAUGCGGGUAUAAACUGUGAUGAAAAACAUUUGCAUUAAAAUAUUAUUGUAUUUGAUUAGUAAGUUGAGUUGUGUCACUCUAUUCAUAUAAAUAACACUACAGACAUUGCAAAUAUCACUUUAUUUGAAAAUUACAGAAAAUAAAAGACAAGAGGUUGGAAUCUAAUCAUUAGUUUAUAAAGAUAAAGAUAGUUUAUUAUUCAAGUAGGCAUAUUACAAUGCGCUUAUGAACGUCAAAUAAAGCUUCACUGGCUCUAACCCUACGCCUCUGACCCGA